rnacentral:sRNA from 1 species
GUAAACCAGAUCGAGCCGUCGGAGUGCACCACGGCGUCGUUCGGCGAGUUGAGCCGCUU